UACGGAGGGGGCUAGCGUUGUUCGGAAUUACUGGGCGUAAAGCGCACGUAGGCGGCUUUGUAAGUUAGAGGUGAAAGCCCAGGGCUCAACCUGGGAACUGCAUUUGAAACUGGCGGGCUUGAGUAUGGCAGAGGGGGGUGGAAUUCCGCGUGUAGCAGUGAAAUGCGUAGAGAUGCGGAGGAACACCGAUGGCGAAGGCGGCUUACUGGUCCGGAACUGACGCUGAGGUGCGAAAGCGUGGGGAGCAAACAGG
rnacentral:rRNA from 1 species